rnacentral:rRNA from 1 species
UACGUAGGGUGCAAGCGUUAAUCGGAAUUACUGGGCGUAAAGCGUGCGCAGGCGGUUAUGUAAGACAGAUGUGAAAUGCCCGGGCUUAACCUGGGAACUGCAUUUGUGACUGCAUGGCUAGAGUUUGGCAGAGGGGGGUAGAAUUCCACGUGUAGCAGUGAAAUGCGUAGAUAUCGGGAGGAACACCAGUGGCGAAGGCGACUUCCUGGCCUGUUCUUGACGCUGAGGCGCGAAAGCUAGGGUAGCAAACGGG